GUGCUCUCGUAGUACAAACUACAAAGGGGUAAAGUUCGGAACUUGGGACGAUUUUCCGAGGGCGGAAAACCAGGCAACCUAAAAUCGACUACACUCGGAUUGUGGGACUUGAGCUAUUCAGCUAACUUAGAAGAAGAUGGGGUGGAACCACCCGUACAUAUCCUUGGACGAACUUGUGAAACUGACAAAAGGGUUUGUGGAUAUACUUAUUCUGGCAUCUGGGUACCAGUCCUCUGGUCUUAUUGCCCACUGGGAUCCUCAAAACAUCAAGAAAGCCUUCCAGUGGGGCCGCUUCUUUGAAAAUGUAUUCAGCCAUUUUAGCAGCUCGGAUGUUUAUCAGGAGUCGGUGAAGGAACUUGACAAAACUCUUUCUGAACUGACUUCCAGCGCCUCUUUCCCCCAGGGUCUUGCACAUCUAUCAUCUGCCACUCUUGCGAAUGCACAACGAUUUGUGUUAGAACAUCUUAUCCAUGUUCUACCUUUGAGUGAUGCACAUCUCAGAGCCUUUCUGACUGCAACAAUUGAGAUGGAGCUUGAUCAACUGUCUGGAACAGAGAAUAAUUGCCUAGAUGCAUAUCUGAACAAGUUGACUCUGCAGAAGACAUCACUAAUUCCAGCACCAGAUAAAAAGGGUUUCAUGAAAGAUUUAGUUCUUUCAUCUCCAGAUAUUGCUCCAAUAAAGGAUUUUACAAAGUAUGCUGUUCAAGAGAUGUUGAAGAGGCGAUGUGCUGUGUCUUGCAUAUCAACAGUUGAGACAGGCUUAGAUAUUCUCUCAAAUGUCAUCAGACGAAGAAGCCUAUCGGACAAUAACUUACUCAAUGAACGACUAAGUGAAGAAAAAGCUCCGAUGAAUGUAGAGUUAUUGCUGGAUUUCAUCACAUGGAACCACUGGAAAUCAAGGAAUCUCUCAUAUUUCAUUGAUAAAAGAACUCUUAGAUUAGUCUCCGGUGCUAGCUUGAUAUUCUGUGGUCCUAAGGACCAGUGGAUGAAAGUUUUUCAAGGGCUGAAUAUUUCAGCCAAAAGAAGUGAUAAUGAUUUUAGUGAAACAAUUGAGCUCUUGUUACUUGGAUGCAUUGCAAGCAGGUGGAACUGUCUAAUUGAACAUUUCAUGUCCGUUUCUUAUUUUUCGCUUACUAUCUCGGAGCAAUAUCAUCAGGUGUGCCGCUUAGUUAUGGGAAGAUCCCAAACUCUUAAUACUAGAGAGCAAACAACGAACUCAAAGGAAAGUGGCAUUCUCGAGUACCUGACUGGACAGUUGGGCAGUCAACAACAUCAAUUAUGGAAACUAUCCCCUGCCCUUGCAGCAGCUGCAAUUCCAACCUGGUCACCCUUAUUAAGGUCGUAUAUGACUGAAAUGGAGAUUCAAUUCAAAGGAGAUUUUUCUGCGAUAAGAUACUGCAAUUGUACUCAAGAUAUGAAGGAACACAAAAAUUGUGAACUUGCUGAGAGAAUUUGGUGCCUCUACAUCUUUCAUGUUUGUGGCUCUCAUCUACUGCAUGGUGCCUGUAGUGCUUGAUAGUUGGCUAGUUUAUUGUAAGAACCUGUAUUCCACACACUUUAGUAUGGCUAUCGUUUCCUACUUGGAGUAUGGAAUGUUAGAGAUGUUUUUCAGAGUAUUUCUCAAUUGGGAGUCUUUUUGCUUACCUUUUUUCAAGCAAAUUCUUUACAGAGCUCAAAUUUCCAGUUGGAGCUGACUUUCCUUUGGUAGAUGCUAAUGUAAAAGAAAACAACUUCAAAACCGAAAAUAGUUUUUUGCACUUGUAAUCAAAUGUGAGAGUGUAGUAGGGUGUUUCUGGGUGAGAUAGUGCAGAAGGAAAAAGAGUCUCUAGAAAUGCCAGAGAACUUCUGGUAUGUCUAACUCGAAUUUCUUAAAAAUAUUAGGAAUAUGAGCAAUUUGAUACAUUUUAUAUGUUUUGCUUUGAUCCCUUGUUCAAAUCAUUUUAAUAUUUUUUCCCAAGUGGUUGGAAUUCUGAACCAAGAUUUCUGCAUGUCAAACUGGAAGCCUAUCUACUGAUUCUGAUGGAUUACUCCCUCAGGCCUCAAAUUCUGUUCAUGUACUGUAGUGAUUUGCCACAUUGCUCCAUCUUUGGCAGUUCUCAGUCAUGUUGGUAUGGACAGAGUGAAUAUUUUCGUAAGAGAAGACCUCAUCCUGCUUUUGUUUCAGUGACACUUCAAGGAAAGAAUCAAAUCUUUUGAGUGAAAUGGAAGGAAAGUCACAGAGAACAAGUGGUAGCAACUUUGUGGAAGGUCAUCCAUUCUGAAAAGUGCUCAAUCAAUACUAAUGACGUUUACAUCACUAGAUGCUAGUCUUCAACAAGUCUUCAAGUUAGGACCAUUCUGACCAUUGAAGGAAAGCCGAGUCAGAUGGACGGUUGAUGGUAAUGAUUCUAAUCUCUCCCAAAUGGGAGAGUACAAGUAACAUGCGAUACCUACCACUAGAAAAAGCAGCAGUAUUCAUGUUUUCUUUUGAUAAUCUUGGUGCCUCAUUGCUUCCAGCUAGAAGCUUUCCUAUCAACAAUACACAGCUGUUGGUGGGAUAGGAGCUACAAUGAAAAAAUCAAGCCUCUCUAGCUUGAGGAGGCUCAAGUUCUUGAAGUUAAGGAAGCAAAAUUCGAGUACUGGGUCUGCAGUCACACUUGUAAGUUUCAAAAGAAGAGCACUGUUGGAUUGUUACCGUGGAUCAUGUCUCUUGUGGCAGUCGGUUCGGAAGUUUAAGUCACUGUGGAAGCAAAAUUUCAGUUGGCAAAGUACAGCUAUGAUCUUCGAAGCUAUACUCUGAACUUUGAUGAUGGUUUCUUCAAUGACUCUCUCUCACAUCAUGGUUCCAUUGAUUUUUGUUUUCCUUUU